rnacentral:tRNA from 1 species
GCGGGAAUAGCUCAGUUGGUAGAGCACGACCUUGCCAAGGUCGGGUUCGCGAGUUCGAGUCUCGUUUCCCGCUCCA